UCCGAUUCUGCAUAAUCUUUUUUAUUCUUUAUCUUGCAGCAAUGGAUUUGUCACCACUGUUUCUGGGAGAUACCGAAGCGCUCUCUCCACCACGCACGAGCAACUCAGAUGUAGCCCUAUAUAGAAAGCGCUUUCAUGUGGCACUGCCUUAUGAGGAGCGUGUUGUCUCCCAGCCAUCCGAACCACCAACACGGGUGUAUCCGCUACAACAGCAACAACCAACACAGGUCAACAAUUUACAUUGUCUCACUUGGAGGAGAGCCAAAAAGAAAUGUUUGAUGGCGUCAUGGCCGCCAUUGUAAGAGUUGAGCCAAAGGUGGAUAGAAUAGCAAAUGCUCUUGCCGAAAAGAUGCCCGAACGCGCGGAAGUUCAAGCGAGAGUGCAAAGUGGUGACCUCGAAAGUUAACCAAAGUAUUUGCCGAAUCACUGGAGAUGUUAUUAGUAAAGAGUAUACUUUGCUUCAAAGUAUGCUCCCACUAUCAUCCCGGAAAAAGUUAAAUACUUUGGAUCUUUUGG